AUGGCACACAUUAAAGGUGUUUUUAAGGAAGGUGAGGAUAGCCAGAUGAAGCUGAAGAAAGAGUUGAAGGUCGAGAUUCAAGCUGGUGAAGCCCGAGUCAUUGCUCAAGUUGAUUCUAUGAAGGCUAUUAUUGAGAACCUUGGUAGAUCUAAUAUCAUCUUUCCUAUUAGUACUUUUGAACGUGAUUCAGAGCCCAAUGACCUUAAUUUUGCAGCAGUUGCACCUCCUCUUACUAAAGCAACUAGCCUUCCUUGA